GCGUCAUUGUUCUUGCCGUCUGACAUGUACGGGCUUUCUAUUGUAAGAAAAUGUCCAGUUGUCGUGACAACUACCAUGGGCUUCACCAAUGGCCUUCCCUUAUGCAAACUAAAUGAACGGCGCUGAAACUGAAAGUUGUUUGAUUUAUUGAUGCAGAUUUAUGUACAAUCCAAAACAAAAAUUAACCUCUCUUCCUGGUUGCCAAACAGCUUCUUUGCUAAAGGCUUUGUAUGGUCAUUUAUCAGUAACCGAGGCAAACAAGCGAUAAAAGUGGAAGGAGAUUGUGUCAGCCAUAAACGCGUGUGGGGUGGCGUUGAGGACAGUUGACACGUGUAAGAAAAAGCUACGUGACAUAAAGAAGAAUGCACGAGACUACUACAGCAGUUUUAAAGUGCCAAAGACAGGAGGCGGAAAAGAAAAGAAAAAACUUUGGUAUUAUGAUGUUGUGUUAGACCACAUCAUUGGCAGAGAUUCGCCCUUUCUACAUGGGGUUGCAGAUGGUGUAAGAGCAGGGAGAAAUGGUCUGUUUGGGAGCGAAGAGCACAAGAGAAAAAACGAAACAAUUGGGGACUGCAUUGACACCCUGAAUGAAAAGUGCAAGAGGCAAAAAGUGAGGAGAAUCACAAUUAAGUUAAUUAUGUUCACCAAAGCCAAGUUCUCCAUGAUGUUGAUGCUGAGAAUGGCCAGCCUGCACAGCUGCAGAAGACAGACGUCUGUAAAACUGUUGAUGCUGCUAGUCGUGGAGGCACAGGCAGUAUCUGCACAUCACGCAUUUCUUGUACGAACACAGCAGACAGUUCACUGAAGAGCACAAGAAUAUCAACAGAACUAGGAGCCUCUGAAUGUCAAAAGCCUGUGUCCAAAUCAAAGCCAAUCAAGAUUAGCUGUGCUUCUCAGGGGACUACAACAGUAAAAAAGAAGGCAUCAGCAACGUCUGCACAACGGGAUGACUCGUAUGAAACUCUUCAGCCAGCUUGUGAAUACUCGCCAGAGUCAACCUCCCCUUACAGCGGCGCUUAUCUGCCGAAAAAAGAAAGAAAACUAUGACAGGCUAGUUGUUCUAGAAAUACAAAAAGCAAAGGCUGAAAUUGAUGUAUUGAAAAACAAAAACAAAAAGCACAGGGGCAGAAAGAACGGGUGCAAGCAAUGAGAGACCAAGUAGCUCUCCAAAGAGAACGCCUGGCUCACAAAAAAGAAAGGGCACUUAUUAAUUUACAAAUCGAAAGGGAGAAAGCCCUUAACCAGACAUACAUUGAAAAAGAAGUGACAGAGUUAAAUUUAUUGAAGGAGAAACUCAAGAUUGAGAAUUGUAGUGCUCGCAAAGCACAGCUAGAGGUGCAGAUGCUGGAGGAAAAGUGCACGCAGUCAGUGGUCAUGACACUAGACGAUUACAAUAACAAUGUCACAAACCAAUGAAAACAGGAUAUAUUGUAACAAUCGUAAUGGUUGCUUCUGAUCAUUGUUUGUGACAUGUUAUUUUUUCAUUUUCAUUUUUUUUAUGCUUAACCAUUUCUUCAUACGUUUUUGUACAUGUAUGUGUGGGUAGCGUUUCAAAAUAGAAUUAAUUGCCUUUAAAUUAUUGUGGGUAUUAUAUAAUAUUCAAUUAAUGUGUUAGAUUGUUUUGAUAACAUCCAAUCUGCCAUUAUAGCAUGAAUAAAGGUGAAAGAAUU